rnacentral:rRNA from 1 species
UGGGGAAUUUUGGACAAUGGGCGAAAGCCUGAUCCAGCAAUGCCGCGUGUGUGAAGAAGGCCUUCGGGUUGUAAAGCACUUUUGUCCGGAAAGAAAUCCUCUGGGUUAAUACCUCGGGGGGAUGACGGUACCGGAAGAAUAAGCACCGGCUAACUACGUGCCAGCAGCCGCGGUAAUACGUAGGGUGCAAGCGUUAAUCGGAAUUACUGGGCGUAAAGCGUGCGCAGGCGGUUUUGUAAGACGGAUGUGAAAUCCCCGGGCUUAACCUGGGAACUGCAUUCGUGACUGCAAGGCUAGAGUAUGGCAGAGGGGGGUAGAAUUCCACGUGUAGCAGUGAAAUGCGUAGAGAUGUGGAGGAAUACCGAUGGCGAAGGCAGCCCCCUGGGCCAAUACUGACGCUCAUGCACGAAAGCGUGGGGAGCAAACAGGAUUAGAUACCCUGGUAGUCCACGCCCUAAACGAUGUCAACUAGUUGUUGGGGAUUCAUUUCCUUAGUAACGUAGCUAACGCGUGAAGUUGACCGCCUGGGGAGUACGGUCGCAAGAUUAAAACUCAAA